GUUUCAAUUCAGUGCGUACUUUCAAAUAUCUCGGGAGCUUUUAGACAAUACUGAUGCCUGGGCUCCAUUUGCUAGAAAUGUCCAGUAAUUGGCCUUGGGUAAGGCCCAGGUAUCAGUAUUGUUUAGAAAUUCCCCAGACAA
rnacentral:pre_miRNA from 1 species